GAUGAAGAACGCAGCGAAAUGCGAUACGUAAUGUGAAUUGCAGAAUUCAGUGAAUCAUCGAAUCUUUGAACGCACAUUGCGCCUGCCAGCACUCUGGCAGGCAUGCCUGUUCGAGCGUCAUUUCAACCAUCAAGCCCUAGGCUUGCGUUGGAGCCCUGCGGCUGCCGCAGGCCCCUAAAAGCAGUGGCGGGCUCGCUAUCACACCGAGUGCAGUAGAUUACUCUUCGCUCAGGGCGUGUGGCGGGUUCUAGCCGUGAAACCCCCUACUUCUCAAGGUUGACCUCGGAUCAGGUAGGAAUACCCGCUGAACUUAAGCAUAUCAAUAAGCGGAGGA
rnacentral:misc_RNA from 1 species